AGUAGGGAAUCUUCCACAAUGGACGCAAGUCUGAUGGAGCAACGCCGCGUGAGUGAAGAAGGGUUUCGGCUCGUAAAGCUCUGUUGUUGGUGAAGAAGGACAGGGGUAGUAACUGACCUUUGUUUGACGGUAAUCAAUUAGAAAGUCACGGCUAACUACGUGCCAGCAGCCGCGGUAAUACGUAGGUGGCAAGCGUUGUCCGGAUUUAUUGGGCGUAAAGCGAGUGCAGGCGGCUCGAUAAGUCUGAUGUGAAAGCCUUCGGCUCAACCGGAGAAUUGCAUCAGAAACUGUCGAGCUUGAGUACAGAAGAGGAGAGUGGAACUCCAUGUGUAGCGGUGAAAUGCGUAGAUAUAUGGAAGAACACCGGUGGCGAAGGCGGCUCUCUGGUCUGUUACUGACGCUGAGGCUCGAAAGCAUGGGUAGCGAA
rnacentral:rRNA from 1 species